rnacentral:rRNA from 1 species
UAGGGAAUCUUCCGCAAUGGGCGAAAGCCUGACGGAGCAACGCCGCGUGAGUGAUGAAGGUCUUCGGAUCGUAAAACUCUGUUAUUAGGGAAGAACAUAUGUGUAAGUAACUGUGCACAUCUUGACGGUACCUAAUCAGAAAGCCACGGCUAACUACGUGCCAGCAGCCGCGGUAAUACGUAGGUGGCAAGCGUUAUCCGGAAUUAUUGGGCGUAAAGCGCGCGUAGGCGGUUUUUUAAGUCUGAUGUGAAAGCCCACGGCUCAACCGUGGAGGGUCAUUGGAAACUGGAAAACUUGAGUGCAGAAGAGGAAAGUGGAAUUCCAUGUGUAGCAGUGAAAUGCGCAGAGAUAUGGAGGAACACCAGUGGCGAAGGCGACUUUCCGGUCUGUAACUGACGCUGAUGUGCGAAAGCGUGGGGAUCAAACAGGAUUAGAUACCCUGGUAGUCCACGCCGUAAACGAUGAGUGCUAAGUGUUAGGGGGUUUCCGCCCCUUAGUGCUGCAGCUAACGCAUUAAGCACUCCGCCUGGGGAGUACGACCGCAAGGUUG